rnacentral:misc_RNA from 1 species
GAUGAAGAACGCAGCAAAAUGCGAUAAGUAAUGUGAAUUGCAGAAUUCAGUGAAUCAUCGAAUCUUUGAACGCACAUUGCGCCCGCUGGUAUUCCGGCGGGCAUGCCUGUUCGAGCGUCAUUUCAACCCUCAAGCCCCCGGGUUUGGUGUUGGGGAUCGGCUCUGCCCUUCUGGGCGGUGCCGCCCCCGAAAUACAUUGGCGGUCUCGCUGCAGCCUCCAUUGCGUAGUAGCUAACACCUCGCAACUGGAACGCGGCGCGGCCAUGCCGUAAAACCCCAACUUCUGAAUGUUGACCUCGGAUCAGGUAGGAAUACCCGCUGAACUUAAGCAUAUCAAUAAGCGGAG